AAAUAAGAAGCAAACUUUGCAAUCAGUUUCGACCUGAUCUUCUGAUGGUUAUACCAUCCUUAUUUA
rnacentral:tRNA from 1 species